GUGUUUCGAAGUUCACGACAAAAUGAUUUUUUGCCACAGAUGGUUGCGGUCGGAGUACCUACCGAUCCCUCAGCCGGGGUUUAUUGGCAUGACAUUUUCAAAUUACCCUGCUGUACAUGGUUUGCAGAGAGAUCUCCACUUUGGUUACGGGAACAGCGGAGUUCAUUGAAAAGAUAGAUCAUCUUUUCGACAUUUUGAACUCCAGCAUCCAAGCCUCGAAAAAUCUUUACCGACGACCUACAAAGGGACCCCACAGCAGGACGCAUUUCUACAUGAAAUGACACAGUUUUUCAAAAAAAUUCGUGCCUCUUCAGACACGAAAACAGGUCACAAUUAAAUCAACAAUGGACCUCUAGGGAGAAUUGAAAAAAGAAGGAUGCCAGAAUUUGAAGACAAGAAGAAUCAACCAGGACUGUUUGGAAAAUUUCUUCGGAAAAAUUCGUCAGCAAGGAGGCAAUUCAGUAAAUCCAACGUCAAUUCAGUUUUUUCGUUCAUUCAAGAAACUGUGUUGCGUGGAUUUAUGACACAUUCAACUGCACCGAGAGUGUGGACGUCUUGCUGAUGAACAACCUCCCAGAGAACAUCAAAAUUUCAACAGAAGAGGAAGAAAGAACAGUCCCACGUCAAACAGGAUCUCUCAAGGUCACAAACACAGAUUUUCGGGGAAACGAUCUUCCAAAGAAAAACGUCGUUUACUACAUCAGUGGGUACCUGGCCAGGAAGUGUUUGGGCAAAUACACAUAUACCCAACCUGCAAAGAGUACGCCAUAACGAUGG